UACGUAGGGGGCAAGCGUUGUCCGGAUUUAUUGGGCGUAAAGCGCGUGUAGGCGGCCAGGUAGGUCCGUUGUGAAAACUCGAGGCUCAACCUCGAGACGUCGACGGAAGCCAUCUGGCUAGAGUCCGGAAGAGGAGAGUGGAAUUCCUGGUGUAGCGGUGAAAUGCGCAGAUAUCAGGAAGAACACCCGUGGCGAAGGCGGCUCUCUGGGACGGUACUGACGCUGAGACGCGAAAGCGUGGGAGCGAACAGG
rnacentral:rRNA from 1 species